CACAGAGGAGCCCCGGCAACUGAUCAGGUAAGACUCAUUGCGAGGAGUUCCUCUUCGCAUUGGGAGCAGGAGACAAGUCCAGCGCCUUUGGUGUUCCGGGCACUUUUUGGGGAGGUUUUUCUACUUUUUCUUGCAACGCUAUGGCCCUAGUAAGAGAUUUCCUGGGGUUACAGAGGAGUUUUCUUGCAUUGUGCCACUCUUUAAAGCAACGAAAUCACUUUUUGUUCAGUCUUUUUCUUCCUGCCGCACGUUGGUCCAUAUGUGAGUGUCUUUUCUUUGAGAUAUCUAGUUCUUGUGUUUUAGAUGCUGUUGAAAGAAGCAGUGAAUGGGGGCACUGCAAAUAAAUUAAUGUUGCCUCAUGUGGAAAUGUAAAUGGGUGCAUAGGGAAUAUAUUUGUGUGUGUUUCAUGUAUGUUUUUCUUCUAGGUUUCUUGGCGACCUCUGUUGCAAACUGCAGGAUUCCUCUCCAUACUUGCUCGUUGUUCCUUUUUCCUAUGCAUAUACUUCUUUGAGAAUCUGAUCUAAAGAGGCAUACGGCAUGGGAAAAUGGGGCGAUUGAGGUGCUCCACCGCCCUGCUCUUCUGCGGCAAGACAUCUUCCACAGGCAAAAUGUGGGGAGCCGGGGGGGGGACACGUCUGAGUAAACUGGGCUGUAGGGUUGAUUUGCAAAACCGCUUGUAUGAGAAACUUGCAUGAAUUCUAAAGAUUAUUAUUUUGCAUGCCAGUUAGGUUUUUGAAUGUGAAAGGGUACUUAAAAACAGGUUCUUUAAUCUAAUAAGCAGGUUAGCUUUGGCUGUAAUUCAAAGUGUAAUGAAUCAUGCUUUUUAAAAAGUGAGUUAGCCUUUGAUUUAGGAAAUCUGUUAUGUAGAGCUCAUUUAGAAUUGCCACCUUUUUGUAGUCAAAGGAUCGGUGCUUUUAACGGCUGCAUAGUAGGCAAAAUUCAACAGGUGCAGCUUACCCCAGCACAGGCAAUCAGUUAAUAGGAAAUGCUCUAUCUGUUUAUUUCUGUCUUGCUAAAGGCAAGUGUUUCCCAGUAAGGAAGCCUGGGUGUGAUUAUGUGAUAUUAUAUUGUUAGAAUAUAAGAGAACAUAAAACUAAUUUUCUUCUUUGUUUCAUCCACAGAUCAUUUUUCAUGUAACUCUCAAUGUUAAAGCAGCGGGGGAAUCAUUGCCUUGCUUUUUUUAAAGAUCUGUUUCGAGAUUGUUGCAUCCCUUUCAGUUCAAUUAAUUUUCUAAUUCUUACUCAUCUGUAUAGAAUUGCUGUGUAAUAUGCCUAUAUGUUUUCUGACAGAACUUUGCAUAAUGAUGUGCUGAAUUUAAUGAUGUAUUGAAUUUUAAGCAUACACUGCAAUAAUGUUCAAAAAGUACAAGUUCAUAAAUGCUAUCAAUUUGUGGGAAAAUGUGGUUGCUUUGAUUGUUUUGUGUCACCUUUCCUGGCUUCAUUCAGUUUGUAAAUGUGCUUCCCCUUUGAGUUGCUGAAAAAAUAAAAAGAACUCUUGACUGC